CAGUAGCCGCGGUAAUACCAGCACCUCGAGUGGUCAGGAGGUUUAUUGGGCCUAAAGCAUCCGUAGCCGGUUGCAUAAGUUUUCGGUUAAAUCUAUGCGCUUAACGUAUAGGCCGCCGAAAAUACUGUGCAGCUAGGGAGUGGGAGAGGUACACGGUACUCGAUAGGAAGGGGUAAAAUCCUUUGAUCUAUUGAUGACCACCUGUGGCGAAGGCGGUGUACCAGAACGCGUUCGACGGUGAGGGAUGAAAGCUGGGGGAGCAAACCGGAUUAGAUACCCCGGUAGUCCCUGUCUCUUAUAC
rnacentral:rRNA from 1 species